CUGGAGUGCAAUGGCAUGAUCUCUGCUUACUGCAACCUCUGCCUCCUGGGUUCAAGCGAUUCUCCUGCCUCAGCCUCCUGAGUAGCUGGGAUUACAGGCAUGCAACACCACGCCCGGCUAAUUUUGUAAUUUUUUUGUAGAGACGGGGUUUCAUCACGUUAGCCAGGCUGGUCUCAAACUCCUGACCUCAGGUAAUCCACCCACCUCGGCCUCCCAAAGUGCUGGGAUUACAGGCAUGAGCCACUGCACCUGGCCUCUCUACGGUAAAUAUUGAAAGUUGCUGGGUCACAGGGUAUGCACAUUUAAAUUUUUUUUUUCUUUUUAAAGGGACAGAGUCUUGCUCUGUUGCCCAGGCUGGAGUACAGUGACGCAAUCUUGGCUCAAUGCAACCUCCGCCUCCCGGAUUCUGGCUCAAUGCAACCUCUGCCUCCCGGAUUCAAGCGAUUCUUCUGCCUCAGCCUCUGAGUAGCUGGGCCUACAGGCACGUGCCACCAUGCCCAGCUAAUUUUUGUAUUUUUAAUACAGACGGGGUUUCACCAUAUUGGUCAGGCUGUCUCAAAUUCCUGACCUCGUGCUCUGCCCUCCUCGGCCUCCCAAAGUUCUGGAAUUACAGGUGUGAGCCACCGUGCCCAGCAUUUAAAAUUUUAAUAUGUACUUUUUGCAACCCAGAACUCAUUGUUCAGUAUGAGUUUUGAUACAUAUAAGAAGGGAUAUUAUGAUACCUGAGACAGUUAACUGAUGGGAGUAUUGAUAGCCAUAAAGGUUGGUUCCAGGCCAGGUGCAGUGGCUCAAGUCUGCAAUCCCCACACUGAGGUGGGUGUAUUGCUUGAAACCAGGAGUUCAAGACCAGCCUGGGCAAGAAAGUAACAAACACCUCAUCUCCACAAAAAUUUAAAAACUAGCUGGGUAUUGGGGCGUGUGCCUGUAGUUGCAGCUACUCAGGAAGGGGAGGCUGAGGCAAAAGGAUUGAGCCCAGGAGUUGGAGGCUGCACUGAGCUUUGAUGGCACCACUCUACUCCAGCCUUCGUAACAAAGACCUUGUCUCCUAAAAAAAAGAUUGAUUCUAGGACUGUAGAAUAGAUAGUUAAACAGCAUGGGAUAUGAGGGAAAUCCUCAGCAGUAUUAAUUUUGCAUUCCAAUUUCAUGUUGAUGAGACAUACGAUGGCUUUUUGUUUUAAAAGCUUUUAUCUUGAGAACAUGAUGUCUGGAGUUAAAGGUAUUGGCAUAUUCCACACAUCUGUACUAUUCUUGAGUGAGAUGGCUUAAGGUGUCAAAUUGAUAACCUGGCAGAUCCCCACGACCGACAGUAUAAAGGACCCUAAAGUAAAUUGGUUGAAGAAAUUAGAUCCCAAAGAUUCUUGGUGAAUUUUGAAGUCUUCAUCAGUAUAUCCACAUUAAAAGGAGACGACAGGAAGCCAAAGUAAUUAUGGGCUGACAGGACAACUGGAUCAGUUUCAUUAAAAAGGCUAACUUGAAGAUAAAUCUUUUGACUCCAGCUCUUUAGAGGAUCUAAAGUGACCUUGAUGGACAGUGGAAGAAAUCACAACAUGGAAUUCCUUGAAUAAAAAUUUAUUGACUUUAAAUAAUUUUGUCUAUUGUUACAUAUCCACAAUUUAAAAACUAUUUACAGCCGGGUGCGGUGGCUCAUGCCUGUAAUCCCAGCACUUUGGGAGGCCGAGGCGGGUGGAUCACGAGGUCAGGAGAUCGAGACCAUGGUGGCUAACACAGUGAAACCCCGUCUCUACUAAAAAUACAAAAAAUUAGCCCGGUGUGCUGGCAGGUGUCUGUAGUCCCAGCUACUCUGGAGGCUGAGGCAGGAGAAUGGCAUGAACCUGGGAGGCGGAGCUUGCAGUGAGCCGAGAUUGCGCCACUGCACUGCAGCCCGGGUGACAAAGCGAGACUCCGUCUCAAAAAAAAAAAAAAAAAAAAAAAAGGAAAGGGUAAACCAGUAAAUACCCACCUUGAAAAAAGAGACAGCAAGGAAAUGUCCCUACUGCAAUCUUGGCUCUGAAUCAGGGGUGGAAGUCGAGGAUUGUGAAGACCUCCCCUGAGUAUUCACAGGCUAGUCUUCAUGAGUUUAUAGUCUAAGUUUAUACUACCUGAAUAGACAGAAACACUUCAAGCCCAGAAUUUUAUUUAUUUAUUUAUUUACUUACUUACUUACUUAUUUACUUACUUACUGAGAUGGAGUCUCCCUCUGUUGCCCAGGCUGGAGUGCAAUGGCGUGAUCUUGGCUCACUGUAACCUCUGCCUCCCGGGUUCAUGCCAUUCUCCUGCCUCAGCCUCCCAAGUAGCUGGGAUUACCGGCACCCACCACAAUGCCCGACUAAUUUUCGUAUUUUUAGUUGAGACGGGUUUCGCCAUGUUGGCCAGGCUGGUCUCGAACUCAUGACCUCAAGUGAUCUGCCCACCUGGGCCUUCCAAAGUGCUGGAAUUACAGGCAUGAGCCACCAAGCCCGACCAAGCCCAGAAUUUAUUUUAAAGUAGUUACAGGGUGAUAGUAACCUAAUUGUCAGGCACUGCAGAGAACGAAAUACAGAUCCUCUCUGGAGAAAGUCACCUUCAAGGCAAACCUAAAAAAAAUCCCUGGAGUUCAGAUGAUAAACUAUAAGGAAAAAAAAUCCCUAUUGUUAAGUUCCUUUGAAUAUGUGUUCACUAAUAAAAAUCCCACAAACACAAAGCAACAGGAAGUAGGCCACCAUAAAUGAGAAUGAGCAGAAAUCAUAAAUAGCAGAAUUAUGCCCACAGAGACUUUGGAUAUUAGAAUUAUAUUGCUGCAUAUAAAGAAGUAUGUUUGCCAGGAGCGGUGGCUCACACCUGUAAUCCCAGCACUGUGGGAGACCGGAGGUGCGUGGAUCACCUGAGGUCAGGAGUUGGAGACCAGCCUGGCCAAUAUGGUGAAACCCCGUGUCCACCAAAAAUACAAAAAUUAGCCGGGCGUGGUAGCACGUGCCUGUAGUCCUGGCUACCUGGGAGGCUGAGGCAGGAGAAUCACUUGAACCCGGGAGGCGGAGGUUGCACUGAACCAAGAUCAUACCACUGCACUCCAGUCUGGGUGACAGAGCAAGACUCCAUCUCAAAACAAAACAAAAAAGAAGUAUGUUUAAUAUAUAUAAAAGCCUGAUUCAAGCACCGGACAGAAAAAAUAAUGUAUCACUAGGGAAUAAAUCACUAAAAAUGACAAGACUUCCAUAACCAUUGCUUGGUUUAAAAAAAAAAAAAAAAAAAAAAAAACAGGCCAGGUGCGGUGGCUCACACCUGUAAUCCCGGCACUUUGGGAGGGCAAGGCAGGCAGAUCAGGAGGUCAGGAGUUCGAGAGUAGCCUGGCCAACAUGGUGAAACCCCGUCUCUACUAAAAAUACAAAAAUCAGCUGGGCGUGAUGGCACAUGCCUGUAAUCCCAGCUACUCGGGAGGCUGAGGCAGGAGAGCUGCUUGAACUCGGGAAGCAGAGGUUGCAGUGAGCCGAGAUCACGCCAUUACAUUACAGCCUGGGUGACAGAGCAAGAAUCUGACAAAAAAAAAAAAAGAUUUUUAAAGGAACAAUUUCUAGAAAUGUAGAUACAGUAAUUCAACAAAUAACUAAAGAAAUAACUACAUAUAUACUAUGUCUAUGUGUGUAUGUGUAUGUAUAUAUAAUAUAUACUGUGAAGGAAAAUAAAGGGUGCCAUGAAAACAUAUCACAGAGUGUUAGGGACUGAAUUUUGCCUCCCUUCUCGCUACCCAAAAUUCCUGUGUUGAAGUCCUAACCCCCAGUACCUCAGCCUGGGAUUGCAUUUGGAGAAAGGGUCUUUAAAGAAGUAACUAAGGUUGGCCGGGCACGGUGGCUCACGCCUGUAAUCCCAGCACUUUGGGAGGCUGAGACUGGUGGAUCACCUGAGGUCAGGAGUUUGAGACCAGCCUGGCCAACAUGGUGAAAACCUGUAUCUACUAAAAAUACAAAAAUUAGCCAGGCAUGGGGGCAUGUGCCUGUAAUCCCAGGUACUUGGGAGGCUGAGGCAGGAGAAUUGCUUGAACCUGGGAGGCAGAGGUUGCAGUGAGCUGAGAUUGCACCAUUGCACUCCAGCCUGAGUAACAAGAGUGAAACUCCAUCUCAAAAAAAAAAAAAAAAAAAAAAGGGCACCGGACAAGAUACAGCCAUUUAUAAGAGGCCCCAGAAGAAACAACCUUCGAUACCUUGACCUUGGACUUCUAGCCUCCAGAAGUGUGAGGAAAUAAAUUUCUGUUGUUUAAGCCACUGAGCCUUUGGUACUUUGUUAUGGCAGCCCCCAAAAACUAAUACUUAAACAAUUCAUCUCUGGUUCUUCUUUCUCUUUUCCUGCCCACCUCUUAAACAUUGGUAUUCCUCAGAGUUCUACAUGGUCCUCCUUUCUCCUGUUACAUAGUCUUCCUGGAUAAGAAAGGGCUCUACAAUUAGACUUGAAUUCAAAUGCUAGCCAUCAAUUAAAAGCUGGCUAUAAAUUCCCAAAUCUACAUUUAAUUUUCUUUUUGUAUAAAAAAUGGGGAUAAGAAUAUGAUAUGUUUUUCUUAAGAGUUGUUGGGAGGACUAAUAAUAAUAAUAGGGUGGGUGAGGUGGCUCAUGCCUAUAAUCCCAGCACUUUGGGAGGUUGGUGUGGGAAGAGCUCUUGAACCCAGGAGUUUAAGACCAGCCUGUGCAACAUAGCAAGAUUCUGUCUCUCCAAAAAAAAAAAAAAAAAAAAAUUUAAUUACCUAUGUGUGGUAGUGUGUGCUUUUAGUCCCAGCUACUUGGGAGGCCAAGGCAGGAGGAUCACUUCAGCCAAGGAGUUCAAGGCUGCAAUAAGCUAUGAUCAAGCCACUGCCACUGCCACUUGCCUGGGCAACAGAGUGAGACUGCAUCUCAGAAAUAAUAUCUUUUCUUGGCCGGGUGCAGUGGCUCACAUCUGUAAUCCCAGCACUUUGGGAGGCUGAGGCGGGCAGAUCACAAAGUCAGGAGUUUGAGACCAGCCUGGCCAACAUAGUGAAACCCCGUCUCUAUUAAAAAUACAAAAAAUUAGCCGAGAGUGGUGGCAGGCACCUGUAAUCCCAGCUACUCAGGAGGCUGAGGCAGGAUAAUGGCUUGAACUCAGGAGGCAGAGGUUGCAGUGAGACAAGAUUAUGCCAUUGCACUCCAGCCUGGGCGACAGAGUGAGACUCCAUCUCAAAAAUAAUAAUAAUAAUAAUAUCUUUUCUUCAGUACUAAUUAUGUGAAGGGACUGAACUAAUUGUUUACUUUCAUUAUUCAUUUAAUCCAUAAUAACCCAGCAAGGUAGUUGUUUUACUCAUUUUAUAGCUGUGGGAACAGACCAAGAACGUUAAUUACUCAGGCAGGGUCACUCAGCUAGUAAGGGGCAGAAGCAGAUUCAAACCCACAUCUAUCUGGCAUCAAAGCCUAUGCUCUUCAACUGUGAAUAUAGCUAAAUUUCAAAGGUAAAGUAGAAAAGAAUUCAUCUUUGAUUUCCAAUUCAUUGGAAGAAGAAAGCAUCACCAAAGACAGGAGCAUUCUCUGUAAGAAUGAUAAAGUGGUGAAGUUCUAAAGGAGCAGUCCCAAACUCUUCUCAUCAAGACUGCCUAAAUGCCCUACCCCCUAGCCCCUUAGAGGGUUUCUCUUUCUUUUUCUUUCUUUUUUUGAGACAGAGUUUUGCCCUUAUUGCCUAGGCUGGAGUGCAAUGGUGUGAUCUCGGCUCACGGCAACCUCUUCCUCCAGGGUUCAAGCUAUUCUGCCUCAGUCUCCCAAGUAGCUGGGAUUACAGGCAUGCGCCACCAGGCCCAGCUAAUUUUGUAUUUUUAGUAGAGACAGGGUUUCUCCAU
rnacentral:lncRNA from 1 species